AUUGAACGCUGGCGGCAUGCCUUACACAUGCAAGUCGAACGGCAGCGGACCUUCGGGUGCCGGCGAGUGGCGAACGGGUGAGUAAUAUAUCGGAACGUACCUUUCAGUGGGGGAUAACGUAGCGAAAGUUACGCUAAUACCGCAUAUUCUGUGAGCAGGAAAGCAGGGGAUCGCAAGACCUUGCGCUGAUUGAGCGGCCGAUAUCAGAUUAGCUAGUUGGUGAGGUAAAGGCUCACCAAGGCGACGAUCUGUAGCGGGUCUGAGAGGAUGAUCCGCCACACUGGAACUGAGACACGGUCCAGACUCCUACGGGAGGCAGCAGUGGGGAAUUUUGGACAAUGGGCGCAAGCCUGAUCCAGCCAUGCCGCGUGAGUGAAGAAGGCCUCGGUUGUAAGG
rnacentral:rRNA from 1 species